rfam:Ictidomys tridecemlineatus contig007168, whole genome shotgun sequence.
UGGGGUGUAGCUUAAUGGUAAAGUGCUUGCCUAGCAUGUGUGAGGCCGUGGGUUCAAUUCCCAACACUGAAA